rnacentral:rRNA from 1 species
UUAGGAAUCUUGGACAAUGGGCGCAAGCCUGAUCCAGCCAUGCCGCGUGAGUGAUGAAGGCCUUAGGGUUGUAAAGCUCUUUCAGCGGGGAAGAUAAUGACGGUACCCGCAGAAGAAGCCCCGGCUAACUUCGUGCCAGCAGCCGCGGUAAUACGAAGGGGGCUAGCGUUGCUCGGAAUCACUGGGCGUAAAGCGCACGUAGGCGGAUCUUUAAGUCAGGGGUGAAAUCCUGGAGCUCAACUCCAGAACUGCCUUUGAUACUGGCGAUCUUGAGUUCGGGAGAGGUGAGUGGAACUGCGAGUGUAGAGGUGAAAUUCGUAGAUAUUCGCAAGAACACCAGUGGCGAAGGCGGCUCACUGGCCCGAUACUGACGCUGAGGUGCGAAAGCGUGGGGAGCAAACA